CUCAUGGGGAAACGUUUUUAAAACAAACAAAGAAAACCCUAGGAAGAGAGGUUAGUCUAAUUAGAGGUAUAUGGAUUCAGGACAACAGAAACAGUGUGGGAAUGGAUUGAAUUUGAGCUCAAGUAUUAUGUUCAUUGCAGAGUGUGAACCUGUUUGUCUGGAGAACCAGCAGACUCAUCACCGGGUUUCUCGUUUUGUUUUUCAAGCCCACUAAUGUUUUGUUGUCGUUGCUACUAGAUUCCUCGAGUGAAUAGCGCGCCCCAUGAACACGAGUGCCUCGGCUUUGCAAACCCAGUGACAGACAGUGAAGUGUGAUUUCACCCCUGUGUGUGCACUGUGAGAAACCAGCAACUGCUACUUUGGUUAAAGUUUAGAGAGUGGGGGUUUCCUGUGGGCUGGAAUGCUGUAACUUUAACCCUUUAGCUGUUCUCACCGUGCAUGCCUAGCACUGUUUCCUCUGGAAAAAAUGACAGGUUAUGGAACCACCUCUUUGGUGAAAUCUUGCAGCAAGCAGGUUUUGAUCUCAUCAGCAACUCCAACCUGCACUGUUAGCAUUGACAAAAGAAAGGUAUUGAUCCAGCUGAAACGUGCCCAGGCUAUGGGGGAAAUGCACAGCUCGUCACUUCUGCAGUCAGAAGCCCUGGCUCCUCCUGGAACUGGGAGCACCCAAGUGGCACAUUGCCUGGCUCCGGCAUAACACAGCUACCUCUGCUGCUCCGGGACUCACAGUGCCAAAGCUGGACAGCCUGAUCCAUGGGGAGGAGGGGCAAAUGAGCCAGACCAAAGUCUAUGUUGUCUCUCUUCCCUGGGUGGAGGCUGCAGUGCUGUGCUACAGAAGUUUGAGCUACCAGCCAAAACACAGGAGCAUGAGGUAUCGUGGAAACCUCAUGUGUAAAGAACCAUUCUGUGGUAUGUCCCUGAUCCAUCCUUCGUUCAGUCUAAUGAGGAUCCUGCCUAAUUGUUGCCACCAGAAUUUCCAUGGCUGGAGUGAACAGCAAAGGCAAAGAUCAGCAGCACUGUCUGCUUCCUCCUGCCAGGCAAUUUGGGGAAGUCCCCUUCACUAACACAGAAGCUAAAGGAGCCUCGCAGAAAGCAGAAACACAGGCCUUUAAUUUCUCUCCAUAGCUAAAUGGUGCCUAUAUGUUCUCGUUUUGUAAAGGGUUCUGUGUUAAGAAAGUGGAGAUACUCCCGUUUUGGGGGGUUGGAUGUUUUGCCAGGUCCUAAGAUUAGCUGCAGUUUGUCUGCCCACAAUAAACCCUGAUUGAUCAGUAUAUAAAUAUUUAGUGUAUGACACCCCACCACCACCCUCUUGAUCUAGCUGUCAACCCCAGCAAAGAAAAUCUUUCUCCUUUUUAGGUAUUUUGUUUCAAGAGGACAAAUGUCUCUUUCUUGUAUGAUCUUGUACAAGAGAUGACUUCGGACAUGUCUGUACUGUGUUUCAUGCCCAGCUCUGGGCCUCAGUUAUUCACACUGCAGUUGUGUCUGCUCACCUCUGGGGACAAGCCAUACAGAAGGAAACCUUGGUGUACAUCUCUCCAGCUGUGCUUCACAGGUGACAGUUGAGACAUGGGCCAUGUCACACUGGGCACCUUCUACCAAGAUUUUCCUUGUCCUGGAAAAUUAAACAUCAGAGGAAUCACAGAGAAGGAAUUAAAGUUCUCAGAUACAUGAGAAUUAUUUUAUUUUAUGGGUAGGGUUUUCAUGGGAACUAAAGGGCUGAAUGAAUGGCUGGAAGUAAGACUUUGAAAAUAGGUCAACAGAGUUGUAGGGAAGAACAUGGAGGCCAGCAGAGGUGGCAGUGAACUGAAAGGAACUAGGUGGGAGAAUGGAGACAACAACCAGGAGAGGGAGAGAAUAUCCAAAGUAAAAUAAAUAAUAGUAAUAAAGCAAUGGAGAUCAGGUGUCUCUAAUGGGACUGUGGCUGACAACCUUUGUUUUUCUAACUGUUUUCUGUUUCUUGGUAGCCCAUCCCACCACAAAAACACGUCUUCUCCAGUAUGAGGAAAUGAGCAAUUCGCAAUAGUAAAGUGACUAUAUAAAAAUUCGAAUUUGUGCCAGAGCAGUGCAGAAAGGAGCUAGUGGAAUUCCCAUGGCGGUGGGUGGCACAGGUGUUUGAGUAGGAUCACAGUCUGAAGUAGUACCUGAGCACAGAGUGGGGGACCAAGAUGUAGCAGCCAAGUAAACAAAUCUGCCAAGCAGAUCCACAGUGCGGCAGCUCCCUGCAGCUGCUGGAGCUGGUCUUCGGCGAGGAAGAGGUGUUAACACGGAGCUAUGCAGACAUCCUCGCAGAGCAAGAGGAUGGCUGUGCUCACUUGCCCCUUUGCAAAAACCAUUGGAAGUUGCAACACAGCAGGGAGCAGCUGCUAAUUUUUAAUUCAGACCAUCCGAACGGCUGGAUGAGGAGAGAGCUUAUGGACUGCUCAGGAUUUCUGAAGGUUCAAGUGGAGGACAGGGGCUGGGAUAAAACAGGACAUUCCACAAGGGAGCCCACACAACAGCAGCAGCCGACAGCUGAGCCUCCUCAAUGGCUUGCUGUCCUGACACCACACUCGCAGGAUUUCCUCUCUGCUCUCAAACCACAUAACAAGAUCUGUUCUUGUCACAGGAAGCAUGUCCACAUCUGUUCGUGUUACCUGCUAAUCGAUGUGAGAUGAUUCUGAACAUUUCAGCCUUGAAAAAAGCUGCAGCAGGUCUUUGCGACAUGAUAAAACACUGUGCAGUGGUAGUGGGAAUCCUUAAUGCCUCAGGUAUCUGAUCUCAGGUAGAAGGAUACUUCUUAACAAGAUUUCAUAUUAUGGCAUUCAGCAGCAAUUUCAGAGCUCAAAUGCCUGAAGCAGGAGUUUGGGUUCAGCCCUUUUUAUUUCUCCAUCAGAAAGCUUUUUCCAAAACCUUUCCUCAUUAAAGCUAUCUCUGUAACAUCAGGAGCAGAAGUGCUCCCAAGCCUCUGGACCCAGAGUGAGCCCUUAUUCUGCACGAAGACAAGGCCUGGGAACGCAGGGAUGCAUUCACCCUGCCACAGAAGGAAACUUCUUGGUGUCCUCUAGCCACUGUCCUGAGCUGGAUGAUCAUAGCACUUGAAUGUCCUACAACCCAAACCUGCCCUGCCUACCAGAGAGAGCCCGAGUCUGAUGUGUCCUACCUGACCAUGCCGCCCACCUCUGUCUCUGAUCUGAGCCUUUUCUCCACAAAACAUGCCAACCCUACACACCCUGACCUUUAGUAAAGGGCAUAAUUUAUUCAGGCUCAUUUGGCAUCAUUGCCUGAUAGAGGGCAGACCUGAUUUGCUGACAAAAACUUUCUUGUCUGAGAUACAGGAGUAAAGGUGCAACUUUAAGCAUCUUCCUACUCCCCUUAUGCAUUGAGAAGAGAGGACAGCAGACAUGAAAAAUGUCAUCUACAGACUGCUGCAAUGUGGGAAGGAGCAAUAUACAUGUGAAUCACUUUGAGACGUGUGGAAGCCGAUCAUUUUUUGUUCUCAACCUAUGAACCUUGAAAAACUGCUAACUAGAUUAGCCCAUGUAAAUUAAUGCUCCACAUCCCUAGCUGCAGUGAAAGGUGAGCUACUAGGUCCUUUGGCUUAUAUGUAAAACCAGGUUUCCAGAUUCUUUUUGCCAGGGAUAAUGCUUACAACAAGCUGCACACUAUUUCGAAAUGGCCUGCACACCAUCGUUUGGACACCCAGUAGAGUUAAUGUGGCUUUUGGACUCUGCAUGAAAGCCACUUCCUAGCGUGGGAGUUGUGUAACAUUAAUUUCUAGGUAUCUAAUAAUUACUGAAGUUUUAUCUGUAUUGUGUAAUACAGUGAAAUUACAGUGGGAUGUAGCUGGCUAAGAACAAAGUCCUUAUACACAAAGCAAAGAGAGCAUAGAGAGUAUCAAUUUCAGCUCUUCUUUCCACUGAAAUACUUCAAAUCUGGUCUCCGUGUUUGCUGCUAAGGACAGGCAACACAUCCAUUAACUUCUUGAUUAUUAAUCUCUUCACAUCAGUAAAGACAAAACCUGUCUAGAAGCUGGUCUAAAAUUCCAGCACAUUUUUUCCCUGAAAAAGCCCUGAUUGUGCACUCCUCAAUUCCAAGUGAAUAGAAGUUGCAUCUAUUUUCGACUAACAGCUAUUAAGAGCUGAUUUACAACCAGCUCUCCCUGAGGAAGUUCUUGCUCAUUUUGGGUUUAAGAGUUAGGCAAGCAGCAGUACUGCCAAUCUCUCAAUUUCUCAGAAUUUAUGAACUGGAUCUCCCAAAAUUGUGAAGUUUAAAAUACAGUAAAUACAGGACUGUCUUCCCAUCAUUUUGUGGAUUAAACCUAUAUUUAAAGAA